rnacentral:rRNA from 1 species
GAAGGAGCUUGCUCCUUUGAGACCGGCGCACGGGUGCGUAACGCGUAUGCAAUCUACCUUGUACAGGGGAAUAGCCCAGAGAAAUUUGGAUUAAUGCCCCAUAGUAUAUAACCUUCGCAUGUUGGUUAUAUUAAAGUUCCAACGGUACAAGAUGAGCAUGCGUCCCAUUAGUUAGUUGGUAAGGUAACGGCUUACCAAGACGAUGAUGGGUAGGGGUCCUGAGAGGGAGAUCCCCCACACUGGUACUGAGACACGGACCAGACUCCUACGGGAGGCAGCAGUGAGGAAUAUUGGUCAAUGGUCGCAAGACUGAACCAGCCAUGCCGCGUGCAGGAAGACGGUCCUAUGGAUUGUAAACUGCUUUUAUACAGGAAGAAACCCUCCCACGUGUGGGAGCUUGACGGUACUGUAGGAAUAAGGAUCGGCUAACUCCGUGCCAGCAGCCGCGGUAAUACGGAGGAUCCAAGCGUUAUCCGGAAUCAUUGGGUUUAAAGGGUCCGUAGGCGGCCUUAUAAGUCAGUGGUGAAAGCCCAUCGCUCAACGAUGGAACUGCCAUUGAUACUGUAGGGCUUGAAUUAUUGUGAAGUAACUAGAAUAUGUAGUGUAGCGGUGAAAUGCUUAGAUAUUACAUGGAAUACCAAUUGCGAAGGCAGGUUACUAAC